rnacentral:ncRNA from 2 species
AACCGUUCAUCCUCGAAGGACGCAGCGGGCUCCGAGUCAAGGAUCGGGGCCGGAG